rnacentral:pre_miRNA from 14 species
AACUGGACAUUCCAAGAACUCGGCUUAAAAUUUGGUAAUGUCUCUGAAAGACCCCCGAAGUGGAGAGACCCUCACUCAAGUCUCAGGAUGACAUGACCCCACAAGAACUCAUGUAAGA